rnacentral:rRNA from 1 species
UACGGAGGGUGCAAACGUUGCUCGGAAUCAUUGGGCGUAAAGCGCACGUAGGCGGCCUGUUAAGUCGGGUGUGAAAGCCCUGGGCUCAACCCAGGAAGUGCACUCGAAACUGGCGGGCUUGAAUAUGGAAGAGGGUCGCGGAAUUCCCGGUGUAGAGGUGAAAUUCGUAGAUAUCGGGAGGAACACCAGUGGCGAAGGCGGCACCUGG